GAUGAACGCUAGCGGCAGGCCUAACACAUGCAAGUCGAGGGAGAAGCCCUUCGGGGCAGAAACCGGCGCACGGGUGCGUAACGCGUAUGCAACCUACCUUUCACAGGGGGAUAGCCCGAAGAAAUUUGGAUUAAUACCCCAUAAUAUUAUUGGAUGGCAUCAUUUGAUAAUUAAAAUUACGAUGGUGAAAGAUGGGCAUGCGUCCUAUUAGCUAGUUGGAGUGGUAACGGCACCCCAAGGCUACGAUAGGUAGGGGUCCUGAGAGGGAGAUCCCCCACACUGGUACUGAGACAGGGACCAGACUCCUACGGGAGGCAGCAGUGAGGAAUAUUGGUCAAUGGUCGGAAGACUGAACCAGCCAUGCCGCGUGCAGGAAGAAUGCCUUAUGGGUUGUAAACUGCUUUUAUAUGGGAAGAAUAAGGAGUACGUGUACUUUGAUGACGGUACCAUAUGAUAAGCUUCG
rnacentral:rRNA from 1 species